GCUCCGGUAGUAUAGUCCGGUCAAACCUUACUAAGAUAGGCUUACUAAGGGACUAAGUAUAGCGGCCUCUCGAGUCGCGGACCCGGGUCCAAAUCCCGGCCGGAGCACCA
rnacentral:tRNA from 2 species